rnacentral:rRNA from 1 species
AUUGAACGCUGGCGGCAGGCCUAACACAUGCAAGUCGAGCGGAUGAAGGGAGCUUGCUCCUGGAUUCAGCGGCGGACGGGUGGGUAAUGCCUAGGAAUCUGCCUGGUAGUGGGGGAUAACGUCCGGAAACGGGCGCUAAUACCGCAUACGUCCUGAGGGAGAAAGUGGGGGAUCUUCGGACCUCACGCUAUCAGAUGAGCCUAGGUCGGAUUAGCUAGUUGGUGGGGUAAAGGCCUACCAAGGCGACGAUCCGUAACUGGUCUGAGAGGAUGAUCAGUCACACUAGAACUGAGACACGGUCCAGACUCCUACGGGAGGCAGCAGUGGGGAAUAUUGGACAAUGGGCGAAAGCCUGAUCCAGCCAUGCCGCGUGUGUGAAGAAGGUCUUCGGAUUGUAAAGCACUUUAAGUUGGGAGGAAGGGCAGUAAGUUAAUACCUUGCUGUUUUGACGUUACCAACAGAAUAAGCACCGGCUAACUUCGUG